rnacentral:tRNA from 1 species
CGCGGUGUAGCGCAGCCAGGUAGCGCGCGGGGCUCAUAACCCUGAGGUCGCCCGUUCGAAUCGGGCCAUCGCAA